GAAAAGAAGACAUCACAAAUAUACUCAAUUAAAAUAUAGGUACAAGUUAUUUUUACUUAGUUUUAGUCCUUUUCUUUCAAAAAAAAAAAUCACUGUUUCAAUCCAGUUUCAUUGAAAUAUUACCUACAAUUUACUUCUCUUUCCCAUGUUUUAGGGAAUCAUUUCUCACGGUUUUGAAACGUCAACAGUUGUCAUUUUCUAAUUUUUUAAACAUCAGGUUUGCACGACGUCGGGACCAUGUGCACACAGAUGGUUUACUUUCUCAGCAUCAGGGACGCAUCUCAGGUCAGGUAUGAGUCCGUGCUGGUUUUAUAGCUUCUCUCAUAGAAUCGUAUGACACGAAAAAGCCAAAGGAACAUAAAUUGAGAGCACACAGCAGUUCUUUCUUCGGCUUACAAAAAAUUGAGCAUGAAGAGUUAAAACCGCUGACGUCAUAGGAGAAAACACCCAGUUCUCCAUAAGUGUUAUUUAAAAGCAGCUUUGUACUUGGCUACAUUAUCAUCUAAGAUGUAUGAAAACAGCGUGGGGCUGCCUACAUGGUGAGGAAAUACCACAUACGCCCUACAGUGAAUCAUUCAGGAAAGCCUCAGGGGAAGUCACGGGGGAAAUGGCAUCAUCCGGUCAGGAUCGCACUGCCCCCGGGCUGGCAAAGACUUUCUCCGCAGCACCUACUGUGGAGCCGGCAGCUGGGCACCCAGCACGCCUAGCACGUCCGACGGGGGCUGGUGAGUCAGCCUCCGCAGGCUUAUUCACAAGGCCCUGAAGAGCAGCUCUGCCAGCACGUGGCCCCGAUGGCCCUCUGCCUGGCACUGAGCAGGCGGAGAGCAGGGGUGACCGCCAGCCUGUCCCGCGGGACUCGCACUCCAACACGGAGACGGACGCACACAGAGGGCUCACACGCUGGCACCAAGUAUCACCAAAGAAGGGAAGAACCACGGGUGGGGAAGGCGGCAGCAGUGCGAGGGAGAGGCUGCGUCCGCAGACAAAGGGGUGCUGGCUGGAAUUUCAGAAAAUAGGGCCCUGCCGGGAGUCAGACAGCGGGAAGAGCAGCAGACGCAGGCAGCGGCCACAUGGACGCACAGCGCACGGCCUAGUACUAGGAACAUGGCUCGUGUAUUUGCAGGUAGGGGGCCAGGACUGGCAGGAGAUGGUGCCUCGCCCAACGGGAGGUGACGGGGACGUUCAGAGCAGGAGAGCAGGAACCAGCCCGGCUGUGAAGGUGCAGGGCUGCUGCGUGAGUGUCGGGGAGCCCACGGGAGCAGGGAGGACACCCCAAAGCGGCUUCCCCGGCCACCACUUCCCUCCCAGGCCCCCCGCUCGGGCCACCGCGGCUCAGGGACCCCCGCCACCCGACUGAAGCUCUCUCAGACGUGCCUGCAGCCCGCACCCCUUCCUUCCGGCCCGCUCGUCCCGGAGUCAGGGCUGAACUGAGGGCUCUGCCGGCCCACCGCUGCUCCCGCCCCUCCAUCCUGCACACACACCGAUGCUUUAAGAACCAUAUCCCACCCUGCCUGUGCUUCUCCCAGGACAGCACCAAGAGCUCAGUCAGUGCUCCGGGCAGGGUUAUAGACACAUCCGCCAGCUGCUGUACAAACACAUUUCGUUACAAGCAGCAGCCUUCAUAAAAUGAAUUUUUUAAAACGAUCAAAACCUUUGAAGAUGUAAAGACCUAUUGUGGCGAGUGAAACACUCACUGAAGUUAAAAAUCACACUCACUCUAAGUUUAUAUAUUUAUAUAUCUACGGACCUUAAUUUAAGCAAAAAAAAAAAAAAUAAUAGAAAAGUUAACUCCUAAAUUUUGCAUCUCUUUUGCUACUCAUCUGAGCUCCACAUUACACAAAAACAGCCGACUAGAAGUGAAACCUGGUCGAAUUUAAAAGAUCGUGGUUCAGGUAUAACUGUGGUACAGGCAGACCUCGUUUUGUUGCGCUUUGCCAAGAUUGUUUCCCCUACAGAUGGAAAGGUCUGUGGCAGCCCUGCAUCAAGCAAGGCUAUCGACGCCACUUUCCCCACAGCAUUUGCUCACUUCGUGUCUGUGUGUCACAUUCUGGUAAUUCUUGCACUCUUUCAAACUUUUCCAUUAUCAUCAUGUGUGUCACGGUGACCUGCGAUCAACCUGUGAUGACUAAGACCUGCUGAAGGCUUGGGCGGCGAUCAGCAUUUCUCAGCAAUAAAGUACUUUUUUACUGAAGGCAUGUCCAUUGCUUUUCAGAUGUAACGCUUCUGCACGCCUAACAGACGGAUUACAGGUGUGAAUGUAACUUCCGCACAUGCACUGGGAACCAGAGUUUCACGCGCCUUGAUUUCUUGCGGCAUCCUCUUCAUCGCCAUGGCCUGGAACCAGACCCACGACGCCUCCGAGGUCCGUGCAAAGGGAAGCCCAGGGUGUAGAGCCGGUGUCUGACUUCCUGUGUUGCUGUGCGGCCACGUUAGGCUCCUCUACCGGACUGCGACUCGGUCUACUUGGGGACAGGUGGUGGUUUCCAGACACAGCCCGCAUGGAGUGGGAGUGUGGUGCUGUCACUUACUGUAGGGACAAAAGGCUCAUCGGGUGCACAGUGG